AUGAACGCUAGCUACAGGCUUAACACCUGCAAGCCGAGGGGAAACGACAUCGAAAGCUUGCUUUUGAUGGGCGUCGACCGGCGCACGGGUGAGUAACGCGUAUCCAACCUGCCCAUCACUUGGGAAUAACCUUGCGAAAGUAAGACUAAUACCCAAUGAUAUCCCACGAAGGCAUCGGAAUGGGAUUAAAGAUUUAUCGGUGAUGGAUGGGGAUGCGUCUGAUUAGCUUGUUGGCGGGGUAACGGCCCACCAAGGCAACGAUCAGUAGGGGUUCUGAGAGGAAGGUCCCCCACAUUGGAACUGAGACACGGUCCAAACUCCUACGGGAGGCAGCAGUGAGGAAUAUUGGUCAAUGGGCGAGAGCCUGAACCAGCCAAGUAGCGUGCAGGAAGACGGCCCUAUGGGUUGUAAACUGCUUUUAUAAGGGAAUAAAGUGGGUCACGUGUGACUUUUUGCAUGUACCUUAUGAAUAAGGACCGGCUAAUUCCGUG
rnacentral:rRNA from 1 species